CCUACGGGUGGCAGCAGUGGGGAAUAUUGGACAAUGGGGGCAACCCUGAUCCAGCCAUGCCGCGUGUGUGAAGAAGGCCCUCGGGUUGUAAAGCACUUUCAGUGAGGAAGAACGCCUGGUGGUUAAUACCCAUCAGGAAAGACAUCACUCACAGAAGAAGCACCGGCUAACUCCGUGCCAGCAGCCGCGGUAAUACGGAGGGUGCGAGCGUUAAUCGGAAUUACUGGGCGUAAAGCGCGCGUAGGUGGCUUGAUAAGCCGGUUGUGAAAGCCCCGGGCUCAACCUGGGAACGGCAUCCGGAACUGUCAAGCUAGAGUGCUGGAGAGGAAGGUAGAAUUCCCGGUGUAGCGGUGAAAUGCGUAGAGAUCGGGAGGAAUACCAGUGGCGAAGGCGGCCUUCUGGACUGACACUGACACUGAGGUGCGAAAGCGUGGGUAGCAAACAGGAUUAGAUACCCGGGUAGUC
rnacentral:rRNA from 1 species